AUUGAACGCUGGCGGCAUGCCUUACACAUGCAAGUCGAACGGCAGCACGGGUGCUUGCACCUGGUGGCGAGUGGCGAACGGGUGAGUAAUACAUCGGAACAUGUCCUGUAGUGGGGGAUAGCCCGGCGAAAGCCGGAUUAAUACCGCAUACGAUCUACGGAUGAAAGCGGGGGACCUUCGGGCCUCGCGCUAUAGGGUUGGCCGAUGGCUAAUUAGCUAGUUGGUGGGGUAAAGGCCUACCAAGGCGACGAUCAGUAGCUGGUCUGAGAGGACGACCAGCCACACUGGGACUGAGACACGGCCCAGACUCCUACGGGAGGCAGCAGUGGGGAAUUUUGGACAAUGGGCGAAAGCCUGAUCCAGCAAUGCCGCGUGUGUGAAGAAGGCCUUCGGGUUGUAAAGCACUUUUGUCCGGAAAGAAAUCCUUGGCCCUAAUACGGUCGGGGGAUGACGGUACCGGGAGAAUAAGCACCGGCUAACUACGUG
rnacentral:rRNA from 1 species